rnacentral:rRNA from 1 species
UACAGAGGGGGCAAGCGUUGUUCGGAAUUACUGGGCGUAAAGGGCGCGUAGGCGGCCCGCUAAGUCGAACGUGAAAUCCCCGAGCUCAACUCGGGAACUGCAUCCGAAACUGGCGGUCUGGAGUAGUGGAGAGGGAUGCGGAAUUCCAGGUGUAGCGGUGAAAUGCGUAGAUAUCUGGAGGAACACCGGUGGCGAAGGCGGCAUCCUGGACCAACACUGACGCUGAGGAGCGAAAGCCAGGGGAGCAAAGCGGG